GGUAAGGUGGCCGAGUUUUAAGCGGUGGGUUGUAGCCCCAUAGACAGAGGUUAGACUCCUCUUUUUACCA
rnacentral:tRNA from 1 species